UAGCCCUGUCAGAGAGCUGGGCACAUGGUAAGAGAAGCUAUUUAAAAUGGAUAGGAGCAGGGCCAGCCGCCAUGAUACUCAAGUGUCCGGUCUCAGGAAGCCCUGAGCUUGUGCGGGUACAGGAAGGAGACCUUAGAGCUGCUUUGCCUCCUCUGGCUUUAACAUGAAAGGUGGGAAGUGUCUGACAUCCAGCCCAGAGUCCUCCCAGAAGCAGAUCCUGGCAGCUUGAAGUUCUUGGGGUUUUGUUCUAAAGCUCUGGGCGUAAGUAUCAAGUUGGUGGUGUGGCAAGGCAACUGUGGGCUGGGAGCACCGCAAAGGAUUGGCUUCUGCCUGGGUGGAGUGCACACCCUCCCCUGACUGGCUGCUAGGGUAAGCUGGCACCACCAGGCUUUCUGCCUUGCAGAGGGCUUCCUGUGGUGGGCACUGUGCAUGUCCUCUGUGCUCUGGUGCCCACGCCAGGACUGCUUGAGUCCUAGACCUAAACCUCACUGCACCUAGAGAAAGCUAAGACCUCUGUCUUCAGUAGGGCUGGGCUGUCCUGUGGUCCAGCGAUGGUUAAAAUCAUUGUCAGCUUAAUGAGCUCUAGAACCUCCUGGGAGAUGGGCCUCUGGGCAUUCCCGUGAGGAAUACUCUUCGUUAGUGUAAUAGGUGUGGGAAGGCGCGCCCACUGUGGGUGACGCUACUCCAUGGGCUGAGAUCCUUGGCUGUAUAAAGAGAGAAAAUGUGCUGAACACAAGUGUCAGUUGCUUUCUUCUGCAUGAUUGUGGACCAGCUGCUUCAAGCUUCUGUUGCCAUGGUGACUAGCUCCUCACACUGUGAGCCAAGGUUCCCAUACAAAUUGGGAAACUAAAAACGCCAGAUGAUUGCAACAGAUUCCUGCUUGCUUUCAUGGGAAAACAACUGCCACGAACCCUCGGGAAAUGAAGGGAAAACGUGUUCUCUGGUUAAUGCCUUCACUCUGUCUGCAAGCAGGUCCCAGUCCACGGUUGCUCAACAUUUCAACUCGAGUGAGAUGUCAUCCUGCUGGAGGCCAGGUGUGUGUGUGUGGUUGUGCAUGUAUGUGUCUAUGUGGAGGUUUGUGUAUGUGUGGUGUGUAUAUGUGUGUGUGUGUGUGUGUGUGUAUGAGUGUGUUGCUACCCAAUGAGAAGCAGUCCAGUGAGUAAGAAAUGAACACCAAACACACACACACACACAUACACACAGACACAUACAUGCACAACCACACACACACCCCUACAUACACACCACUCACAUACACACAUGCACACCACAUACACACACAUGCACACCACAUACACACACAUGCACACCACACAUACACACAGACUCUUACAUGCGCACCACACACACACAUCAUACAUAAAUGCACACCACACCCAUAUGCACAUACACCCCUACAUACACACCUUACACACACACCUCCACACAGACACAUACAUGCACACCACACACACACACACACACACACACACACACACACACACACACACCCCUUAUGGUCACCAACGCUGGCAACAUAAUUUUUUCUCACAAUAGCUUUCAAGGAUGCAAACAGAGCCUGCAAUUCCAAAUCUCCACAGUGUGCCUGUUUACAUGGAUGCCACCAGCUGCCUUUCUUGCCUGGCCUAGAGAGAAUACUCAGAGAAACAGAGUGGCAGAGGACAUCCCUGUGGCCUUUUGCCAAAAUAAACCAUGGAAGUGACUCUAUGGAAAUAAGAACAUAGAUUACAGUGCAUCUGAAAUGCUGUGCUCUGGCCUAGUCAAAACAUUUUGAUUCCUCUUGUCUGCAAAUGACUCACGGACAGGAUUUCUUCACAGGAGGCCACACUAAUAGAGGCCAUGGAAGUCGUGUUAGGGGAAACAGCAGCAUCAUUUUGUGGUCCUAGGGAGGCCUUCGGUAGUCAGGUGUUAUUGUGUUAGCACAGCUGUGCUGCACAGCAUCAUGGUCCAGGACACUCUCUUUCUUCGGAUUUCAGUAAUUGCGGCUUAGGGUUGAUUGCCUCUGUUCUGUUUCCAGCUUGCCUCAGACACUUAGCUGCCCAGAGUUGGCACAAACACCUAUGGGGAUGAAGAGAAAACAUCUCCAUUAGACUGCCCUCUCCUCUCAGGCAAACCACAGGAAGUCUCAUGAGGUCUCUAGGCCACCCACACUUUGGCCCACUGGGGUGAUUCACUGAAUCCACAGCUUUACUAAAGGACACACUUCAAGAAGAGCCAAACAGAUGUAUAAGGCAGGAAGACAGCACCCCAGUGGUCUCAGGGAGCAAACCCCCCUAGUGAUGAGAAGAUACACACAGAACCUAACCAAGAGUGGGUGUAGUAGAAUAUUGUAAGGUGUGUUACUUUUCUUUAUGUUGCGAUUGUUUAACUCUGUGAAGCCGUGUUACUGUGCCUGUCUAAAACACCUGAUGGUCUAAUAAAGAACUGAACAGCCAAUAGUGAGGCAGGAGAAAGGAUAGGUGGGGCUGACAGGCAGAGAGAAUAUAUAGAGGGAGAAAUCUGAGGAAGAAGUAGUCAGAGAAGGAGGAGGACAUCAGGGGCCAGCCACCCAGCUGUUGGGUUAUUGCGGCGCUCUUACCCUGCAAGGAAACGUCACGAAACAUUAACAAAAUCCAAUAACAAGAGUUAUAUUAAGAUAAGGUAAAGAGACAGAGGUAAACAGGCCUGUGGAAAGACACGUGAGUGAAGAUGGGGCCGGGAAUCCUGGCGCCGGCUUAUAAAGGCUGGGCUGCGCCUGCGUACACAGGCCCAUGUGGCUAUUCCACGCAUGCAUGUAGACCACAUGUUUACGCUGCGUGCUUUACGCAACCACGCAAAACCAUGGGGUCCUGGUCACGCGAGAUGUUUUGACCCGGAAAUGACUAGACAGAAGUGACUAGGUCCCGCCGGGCAUGCGUGACCAUGCCCAACCGUGGGGGCGUGUUGUGAAUCCAUAUCACCAGUGACACAGCAAGCCACGGAGUAAUAGUAAGAUUUACAGAAGUUAGAGAACAGGAAAAGCCCAGGGGCAAAAGGUAACCUGGAUAAGUUAAAGUUAAGGAAAGCUGGAAAGAAACAAGCCAAGCUAAGGCCAGGCAAUCAUAAUUAAGAAUAAGCCUCCAUGUGUGAUUUAUUUGGGAGCUGGUUUGCGGGUCCCCCGCCCACCCAAAAAACACCAACAACCAACAAGUGGGUGCCAACUCUGGGUAGUUGGUGUCAGAAUAGAGUUGGGGUGGAAACAAGACACAGAGAAUACUAGUUAUCAGUAAUGUUAGCUGGUAGUUAUUUGCAGAACCUGUCAAUCAAGUCUCUGUAGGCAGAGCAGCAGGGGAGCUGAUUCAUUAAAGCCCCCCUGUCACCAGCUGUCUGGCUGGAGUCCUUCUGUUCUAUUCAGAUAGGAGAGGCUCCCCGACUGUUGUCCUUGGAGGCUUUUGUAAUCUUUCCCUCAGCGUCUGACCCAGUGAGCAGCUGUGAUGGACAGAGGCAAACAGCAGCAGGCAGGAAGUUCCCGCUGGCGCGUUAGUGCGCCUGUGCUGGCCUGAGCUUCCAGGACCCUCAGCCCCACAGGCGCGGGAAGUGAGGCUUCUCCAGCUCAGUCGGUGCCUGGUGCUAGGAUUCGGCUCAGGCGAGGCUCCGGGGACCCGAGGGCCUUGGCCCGAUGAGCUGGCAGCUCUCCGGAACUUUUCUAGUGACCAGGGCUUGCUUGCAGUUUUCCCACUCUGCCUCUUUGCGGCCUUCUAUUUUUCUUUAUCCCUGGCUCUAUUUCCACGCUCUUCUGCUUUCUUUCUACGUCUGCCAUUACUCUUGAUUCCCCUUUUUGCAACUUUUUUUUUUUUAAGUUUUUCGAGACAGGGUUUCUCUGUGUAGCUUUGCGCCUUUCCUGGAACUCACUUGGUAGCCCAGGCUGGCCUCGAACUCACAGAGAUCCGCCUGGCUCUGCCUCCCGAGUGCUGGGAUUAAAGGCGUGCGCCACCACCGCCCGGCCUCUUUUUGCAACUUUUCAAACACCUCUGCUUCCUGCACAUGCUGUCACGGCUGCCAGCAUUCACCGCCGCCGCCCCUCCGGCUGUUAUCGUCCGCUAUUUUCAGAGCCACUGCUGCCUCUGCCUCGUGGCUGUGGCUCCCAGGAUUACCACGUCACCACCACCAGGCUGGUGUUGCCGCCGAUCCUCAUUUGUCAUAGCUUCGACCGCCACCACGGUCACUGCUACUUCCUUCUUCUUGUGACCAGUCCACCGCACUCUACGAGCAAUAGAGACAGACAAGGAAAGACCGCUCAGAAGAAGCCUUCCUGUCGCGGAUGCUACGACAACACUGUUUCCUGGCAACCUGCUUGUCUACCAUCCAAUCACAGCAGACCUACAUGCAAGGGAAGGAUGGUCACGGCAUUGUCUCUUUCCCACUAGUUACAACAGUUCCUCUGCUAUACGAGCAGUGAGGUGUUCCCCUUCUGGACUAGGUAAAUUGAUGCCAGGGUAAGUCUGGAACGUGCUGGGGCUGCGCUUUAGGAACGGUAGCUGUGCUACAGCAGCAGGCAGCUGCAGUUGCCGUGCAACUUCCUCAAAACAUCUGCGGACUGUUUGAAGCAGCUAGAGCAGGAGUCAAGCUGACUGCUGAACUGACAGUCCUUUCCUCAAGGCAUCCUGGGCAAUGAAGAGGAGUCUAAUGGGGACGAAUUAGUGAGUCCCAGCUCCCAUCCCCAACGUCUUAGCAAAUUUACCGAGGAAAAUGAACAUAAGAGAGAUCGUAUAAAAUAAUGAGUAGUCACUAAUUAAAUAGCGUUGAUCGGUGCUCUAACUUACUAUGGCGCCUGUACCCCAGGAAAGGUGGAUCGCUCGUUCCACUUUGUCUCGUCCCUAGCACCGCAAAACCUGUGUUCAUCAGCCGGAGAUCUUCACUGACCCUCAAUGAAGAGUUUUUAUUGGGAUUUUUCUUAAAGGUCAUGGAUUAAAUCAUUGGCCACAUUAAAAAUCUCAGCCUGCUCCCUUGCCCAGUUAGUGAGUUUAUACCUCAGGUCAGUUUGGUCCAGAGUUCUAACACUUCAAUCCCUUGUCUUCAUUUUGAUCAUGUGCUUUCCUGAAGUAUCUGAGAGUUAACUUAUCAGCAUAAGUAGCAAGAAUACCCUUAUCGGAAAAGCCCAAAUGUCUUAGCAACUAAAGAAAAUACUGAAUAUUAUCUUUAUAAUACCAUACUUCACUAUGAAAAUGUAAAAAACACUGGGAAUUUCAACUUAUUAUUAUUAAUUUUUUUGAGCAGCUACUACAGACCAACCCUUUGGAUUAUACAUGCUGAAGCAGUAUUUUGGAAUAUAAGCAGGCCAUUACGUGGAGGGUAGGCUGAAGGAGGCAGAGAGGGGUACAUGGAUAAGGAGAAGGCAUUCAAGGGAUGAAAUCCAGACAAGGGGAGCAGGUGUGGAAAUGGAAGAGGCAGGCUUGAGAAACACAAAAGAAAGUUUCAAUGAUUCAGCUUUUUGUUGUUGUUGCUGUGGUAGUGGUUUGAAUAUGAAAUGUCCCCCAGAGGCUCAUGUGUUUGAACACUUUGUCACCAGCUGAUGGCGCUGUUUGGGAAAACUGUGGAACCUUUGCCUGGUAGUGCCUUGAUGGAAGAAGUAAGUCCCUGGGGACAGACAUACAAGUUUUAUAGUCCCACUUUACUUCAUGUUCACUCUCUACUUGUGCGUGUGAAGAUAAUGUAACAAGCCAGCUCCCUUCCCUGCCACCAAUGCCCUCCCUGUCCUCUGUCAUGUCUUCCCUACCAUGACGGACAAUAUCCCCCAGAA